UACGUAGGGUGCGAGCGUUGUCCGGAUUUAUUGGGCGUAAAGGGCUCGUAGGCGGUUCGUCGCGUCGGAUGUGAAAACUCGGGGCUUAACUUCGAGCUUGCAUUCGAUACGGGCGUAACUAGAGGAUGGCAGGGGAGACUGGAAUUCCUGGUGUAGCGGUGGAAUGCGCAGAUAUCAGGAGGAACACCGGUGGCGAAGGCGGGUCUCUGGGCCAUUACUGACGCUGAGGAGCGAAAGCGUGGGGAGCAAACAGGAUUAGAUACCCUGGUAGUCCACGCCGUAAACGGUGGGCGCUAGGUGUGGGACUCUUCCACGGGUUCCGUGCCGUAGCUAACGCAUUAAGCGCCCCGCCUGGGGAGUACGGCCGCAAGGCUAAA
rnacentral:rRNA from 1 species